GGGAGCUGUGGGCGUGCGCAGUAUCACGCGGUGGCGCCAUCUCGCCCUGCCGUGGAGGGCUGGGGGUUCUCUCCGGGAGGUGGCGCAGCCCCGUUGCUCUUUCAACGGAAGAAGGAGACAAGCUCAGAGCCACGAAGCCACCAGCCACAGUCAACAAUGUGCCGAAGGGACAAAGCAUAGAUUGGGACCCAGAGCUAGAGUCUCUGUCGCCCAGGCUGGAGUGCAGUGGCACGAUCAUAGCUCACUAGAGUCUCCAACUGCUGGCCUCAAGCUAUCCUCUCUCCUCAGCCUCUGAAAGCACUGGGAUUACAGGCAUGACCCACCCCAUGUAGCCUUUAAAAAUAUAUCUUUUGAAAGAGAUUCUUGCUCUGUUGCCCAGGCUGGAGUGCAGUGGUGAGAUCACUACUCACUCCAGGUUCA
rnacentral:lncRNA from 10 species